GACGAACGCUGGCGGCGUGCCUAAUACAUGCAAGUAGAACGCUGAAGCUUGGUGCUUGCACCGAGCGGAUGAGUUGCGAACGGGUGAGUAACGCGUAGGUAACCUGCCUGGUAGCGGGGGAUAACUAUUGGAAACGAUAGCUAAUACCGCAUAAAAUGGAUUAUCGCAUGAUAAUCAAUUGAAAGGUGCAAAUGCAUCACUACCAGAUGGACCUGCGUUGUAUUAGCUAGUUGGUGGGGUAACGGCUCACCAAGGCAACGAUACAUAGCCGACCUGAGAGGGUGAUCGGCCACACUGGGACUGAGACACGGCCCAGACUCCUACGGGAGGCAGCAGUAGGGAAUCUUCGGCAAUGGACGGAAGUCUGACCGAGCAACGCCGCGUGAGUGAAGAAGGUUUUCGGAUCGUAAAGCUCUGUUGUAAGAGAAGAACGAGUGUGAGAGUGGAAAGUUCACACUGAGACG
rnacentral:rRNA from 1 species